rnacentral:lncRNA from 1 species
CAUCAACGCAGCGACGGAAGGCAACCCUGCCAAAAAUCUCCCCAGAGUUCUAGUGAAUAUAAGGGCCAAUUCCAGAACUCCUGAGGAUGUUAAGAGAUUGGAGAAGCACUUCACAAAGGCCGAACUGAAGAAAGAGGGAAAAUAUCAGGUCUUGCAAAGAGAAGGAUCCCCUGGGGGACUGGGCAAGUCAAGGAGCUUAGGAGAAACUGUUUUCCUUUUCAGCUUUGGUCCCUACUGCUUGUCUGGUUGUGAGUAAAAAUCCAGAGAAAGACAGUUGUCAGCUGAGUGAGCUAUUGACAAUGCAGGUGAGUAGAAAAUUCUUCAACUGAAAUUGCAUCUCUAUUGCCAGCAGAUGAUGAAGUUUC